rnacentral:rRNA from 1 species
CCUACGGGAGGCAGCAGUAGGGAAUCUUCCACAAUGGACGAAAGUCUGAUGGAGCAACGCCGCGUGAGUGAAGAAGGGUUUCGGCUCGUAAAGCUCUGUUGGUAGUGAAGAAUGAUAGAGGUAGUAACUGGCCCUUAUUUGACGGUACUUACUUAGAAAGUCACGGCUAACUACGUGCCAGCAGCCGCGGUAAUACGUAGGUGGCAAGCGUUGUCCGGAUUUAUUGGGCGUAAAGCGAGUGCAGGUGGUUCAAUAAGUCUGAUGUGAAAGCCUUCGGCUCAACCGGAGAAUUGCAUCAGAAACUGUUGAACUUGAGUGCAGGAGAGGAGAGUGGAACUCCAGGUGUAGCGGUGGAAUGCGUAGAGAUAUGGAAGAACACCAGUGGCGAAGGCGGCUUUCUGGUCUGCAACUGACGCUGAGGCUCGAAAGCGUGGGGAGCGAACAGGAUUAGAUACCCGGGUAGUC